rnacentral:misc_RNA from 1 species
AUGCGAUACGUAAUGUGAAUUGCAGAUUUCAGUGAAUCAUCGAAUCUUUGAACGCACAUUGCGCCCGCCAGUAUUCUGGCGGGCAUGCCUGUUCGAGCGUCAUUUCAACCAUCAAGCGCCUCGCUUGUGUUGGGGCCCUGCGGCUGCCGCAGGCCCCUAAAUCUAGUGGCGGGCUCGUCGUCGUACCGAGUGCAGUAAAUAUCCUCGCUCAGGGAACCCGACGGGUGCCGGCCGUGAAACCCCCCCUCCUUAAGGUUGACCUCGGAUCAGGUAGGAAUACCCGCUGAACUUAA